rnacentral:rRNA from 1 species
AACGAACGCUGGCGGCAUGCCUAACACAUGCAAGUCGAACGAUCCCUUCGGGGAUAGUGGCGCACGGGUGCGUAACGCGUGGGAACCUGCCCUUAGGUUCGGAAUAACUCAGAGAAAUUUGAGCUAAUACCGGAUAAUGUCUUCGGACCAAAGAUUUAUCGCCUUUGGAUGGGCCCGCGUUGGAUUAGCUAGUUGGUGGGGUAAAGGCCUACCAAGGCGACGAUCCAUAGCUGGUCUGAGAGGAUGAUCAGCCACACUGGGACUGAGACACGGCCCAGACUCCUACGGGAGGCAGCAGUGGGGAAUAUUGGACAAUGGGCGAAAGCCUGAUCCAGCAAUGCCGCGUGAGUGAUGAAGGCCUUAGGGUUGUAAAGCUCUUUUACCCGGGAUGAUAAUGACAGUACCGGGAGAAUAAGCCCCGACUAACUCCGUG